GGUACUACCAAGUUAGCAAAAUGAUACAAAAGUGUAAUGCUACGGACAUAGUGAACGAUAAUAACAUUACGACAAAAACUGCGAUGAGAACAAUUUAUGAGCGCGUAAUUAUUGUAGACAACGACGAAUUUGUUAGCGAACUUUUUAAUGACAAGAAUAAUCCAAACGGCAAUAAACUACGUACAUAUAGACAAUACAAAGAAAAAGUAGAAACAGAAAAAUAUUUGAAACUUCAGUUGCCGAGAUCGGUCCAACGAGUUGUUGCCCUGUUCCGAAGUGGAUCGCUUCCGUUGGCAAUCGAGACAGGCCGAUACGCACGACCGAAAAUACCAGUUAAUGAAAGAAGUUGUAAAUUCUGUCCGGAUGACGUCUUAGAAAACGAGAAACAUUUUUUAAUGAACUGCACUAUGUAUGAUGACUUAAGAUAUAAUUUAUUUCUCGAGCC
rnacentral:lncRNA from 1 species